rnacentral:rRNA from 1 species
CAUUAAUGUACCGCCUGGGGAGUACGGUCGCAAGAUUAAAACUCAAAGGAAUAGACGGGGACCCGCACAAGCGGUGGAGCAUGUGGUUUAAUUCGACUAUACGCGAAGAACCUUACCUGGCCUUGACAUAGAAAGAAUUUAGCAGAGAUGUAAAAGUGCUAGUUUACUAGAGCUUUCAUACAGGUGCUGCACGGCUGUCGUCAGCUCGUGUCGUGAGAUGUUAGGUUAAGUCCUGCAACGAGCGCAACCCUCGUGUUUAGUUACUAACAGAUUAUGCUGAGGACUCUAGACAUACUGCCUGGGCAACCAGGAGGAAGGUGAGGACGACGUCAAGUCAUCAUGGCCCUUACGGCCAGGGCUACACACGUGCUACAAUGGCCAGGACAAUGAGACGCGAUACCGCGAGGUGGAGCAAAUCUAUAAACCUGGUCUCAGUUCGGAUUGUAGUCUGCAACUCGACUACAUGAAGCUGGAAUCACUAGUAAUCGUAGAUCAGCUAUGCUACGGUGAAUACGUUCCCGGGUCUUGUACUCACCGCCC